rnacentral:rRNA from 1 species
AUUGAACGCUGGCGGCAGGCCUAACACAUGCAAGUCGAGCGGAUGAAGGGAGCUUGCUCCUGGAUUCAGCGGCGGACGGGUGAGUAAUGCCUAGGAAUCUGCCUGGUAGUGGGGGAUAACGUCCGGAAACGGGCGCUAAUACCGCAUACGUCCUGAGGGAGAAAGUGGGGGAUCUUUGGACCUCACGCUAUCAGAUGAGCCUAGGUCGGAUUAGCUAGUUGGUGGGGUAAAGGCCUACCAAGGCGACGAUCCGUAACUGGUCUGAGAGGAUGAUCAGUCACACUGGAACUGAGACACGGUCCAGACUCCUACGGGAGGCAGCAGUGGGGAAUAUUGGACAAAGGGCGAAAGCCUGAUCCAGCCAUGGCGCGUGUGUGAAGAAGGUCUUCGGAUUGUAAAGCACUUUAAGUUGGGAGGAAGGGCAGUAAGUUAAUACCUUGCUGUUUUGACGUUACCAACAGAAUAAGCACCGGCUAACUUCGUG